rnacentral:rRNA from 1 species
UCCGUAGGCGGGUCAUUAAGUCAGAGGUGAAAUCCCACAGCUUAACUGUGGAACUGCCUUAGAUACUGGUGAUCUUGAGUUCUAGUGAAGUAGAUAGAAUGUGUAGUGUAGCGGUGAAAUGCAUAGAUAUUACACAGAAUACCGAUUGCGAAGGCAGUCUACUAACUAACAACUGACGCUAAUGGACGAAAGCGUGGGGAGCGAACAGGAUUAGAUACCCUGGUAGUCC